UUUAUAGAAGCUGUGUAAAUAGCUUGUUCAAUUGCUUAUAGCUUGUUCAAUUGUUUUCUUUCUUUAAUAGUCUUGAGAGGUGUCAGUAUUUUGCUGAAUCACCAUUGAUUAAUCCUGUUGCAGGUGAUUUUGGACUUGCUAAGAUGUUGCCAUCAGAUGAUCUUGCAUCCUCUGUUGUAGGAACUCCAAGUUAUAUGUGCCCUGAGCUUCUUGCUGACAUACCUUAUGGCUCUAAGUCAGACAUUUGGUCCUUGGUCAGGCCCUCAU